rnacentral:rRNA from 1 species
AUCAUGGCUCAGAUUGAACGCUGGCGGCAUGCCUUACACAUGCAAGUCGAACGGCAGCACGGGAGCUUGCUCCUGGUGGCGAGUGGCGAACGGGUGAGUAAUAUAUCGGAACGUGCCCUAGAGUGGGGGAUAACUAGUCGAAAGAUUAGCUAAUACCGCAUACGAUCUACGGAUGAAAGUGGGGGAUCGCAAGACCUCAUGCUCGUGGAGCGGCCGAUAUCUGAUUAGCUAGUUGGUGAGGUAAAGGCUCACCAAGGCAUCGAUCAGUAGCUGGUCUGAGAGGACGACCAGCCACACUGGGACUGAGACACGGCCCAGACUCCUACGGGAGGCAGCAGUGGGGAAUUUUGGACAAUGGGGGCAACCCUGAUCCAGCAAUGCCGCGUGAGUGAAGAAGGCCUUCGGGUUGUAAAGCUCUUUUGUCAGGGAAGAAACGGUGAGGGCUAAUAUCCUUGCUAAUGACGGUACCGAAGAAU